GUGUUCUCUUUGGCAGCACGUAUACGAAUAUCAAAACAAUAUAAAGAAGAUUAGCGUGGCCCCUGUCCACAAAUUCACGAAGUGUUCCAUAUUUUU
rnacentral:snRNA from 1 species